UAUCCCUAUGAAGAAUGAUUUAUGUCCAAAGUUAAAGUAGUGGGCUGAUACAUCCUUGAUGAUGAAUACUUCUGAGGGAUU